rnacentral:rRNA from 1 species
AUUGAACGCUGGCGGCAGGCCUAACACAUGCAAGUCGAGCGGAUGAGGGGAGCUUGCUCUCUGAUUCAGCGGCGGACGGGUGAGUAAUGCCUAGGAAUCUGCCUGGUAGUGGGGGACAACGUUUCGAAAGGAACGCUAAUACCGCAUACGUCCUACGGGAGAAAGCAGGGGACCUUCGGGCCUUGCGCUAUCAGAUGAGCCUAGGUCGGAUUAGAUAGUUGGGGGGGUAAAGGCUCACCAAGGCGACGAGCCGUAACUGGUCUGAGAGGAGGAUCAGUCACACUGGAACUGAGACACGGUCCAGACUCCUACGGGAGGCAGCAGUGGGGAAUAUUGGACAAUGGGCGAAAGCCUGAUCCAGCCAUGCCGCGUGUGUGAAGAAGGUCUUCGGAUUGUAAAGCACUUUAAGUUGGGAGGAAGGGCAGUAAGUUAAUACCUCGCUGUUUUGACGUUACCAACAGAAUAAGCACCGGCUAACUUCGUGCCAGCCGCCGCAGUAACAC